UACGAAGGGGGCUAGCGUUGCUCGGAAUCACUGGGCGUAAAGCGCACGUAGGCGGGUUCUUAAGUCAGGGGUGAAAUCCUGGAGCUCAACUCCAGAACUGCCUUUGAUACUGAGGAUCUUGAGUUCGGGAGAGGUGAGUGGAACUGCGAGUGUAGAGGUGAAAUUCGUAGAUAUUCGCAAGAACACCAGUGGCGAAGGCGGCUCACUGGCCCGAUACUGACGCCUGAGGCACGAAAGCGUGGGGAGCAAACAGGG
rnacentral:rRNA from 1 species